rnacentral:misc_RNA from 1 species
UAAUCUUGUAAACCGCGUCG